AGAGUUUGAUCCUGGCUCAGAAUGAACGCUGGCGGCGCGCCUAAUACAUGCAAGUCGAGCGAGAAGACGUAGCAAUACGUUUGUAAAGCGGCGAACGGGUGAGGAAUACAUGGGUAACCUACCCUCGAGUGGGGAAUAACUAGCCGAAAGGUUAGCUAAUACCGCGUACGCUCCUUGGACUUCGGUUCAGGGAGGAAAGCGAUACCGUGGGUAUCGCGCUCUUGGAUGGGCUCAUGUCCUAUCAGCUUGUUGGUGAGGUAACGGCUCACCAAGGCUUCGACGGGUAGCUGGUCUGAGAGGACGAUCAGCCACACUGGCACUGCGACACGGGCCAGACUCCUACGGGAGGCAGCAGUAAGGAAUAUUGCGCAAUGGGCGAAAGCCUGACGCAGCGACGCCGCGUGGGGGAUGAAGGUCUUCGGAUUGUAAACCCCUUUCGGGAGGGAAGAUGGAAUGGGGUAACCCAUUUGGACGGUACCUCCAGAAGCAG
rnacentral:rRNA from 1 species